rnacentral:sRNA from 1 species
CGGCAGAAGAAGCGCGUGCAGCAGCAACAACAAACAUGCGGAGCAGCAAAACAAGACGGCGCAAAGAAAACGAAACACAACCGCAAAUAAACACACAUUUUGCGAAUUUCGAAAAACAACAAACUUAAUGCGCCAUGUGGCUGUUGUG